GAAAUGCGAUAAGUAAUGUGAAUUGCAGAAAUCAGUGAAUCAUCGAAUCUUUGAACGCACCUUGCGCUCCUUGGUAUUCCGAGGAGCAUGCCUGUUUGAGUGUCUUGAAGAUAUCAACUCGCCUCCCUUUUCUGGGAGCCCAAGUUGGAUGUUGGGGGUCUGCGGCCAAACCCGGCCGCUCCCUUCAAAUGUAUCGGUUGGGCUGUGGGUCGAACUUGUCUGGGUGUUGUACCAUCCUCACUCUGGAUGAGAUGUUCCUGCCUUGUGUGCCCUGCUUGGACCUGCCCGUUUGGAGUGGCGGUCAAGACAAGACAAAACUCUCUUGAAAUCUGACCUCAAAUCAGGUAGGACUACCCGCUGAACUUAAGCAUAUCAAUAAGCGGAGGAAAAGAAACUAACAAGGAUUCCCCUAGUAACUGCGAGUGAAGCGGGAAAAGCUCAAAUUUUAAAUCUGGCGGCUCCGCCGUCCGAGUUGUAUUCUGGAGAAGCGCCUUCCGUGCCGGACCGUGUACAAGUCCCUUGGAACAGGGUGUCGUAGAGGGUGAGAAUCCCGUCUUUGACACGGACCACCGGUGCUAUGCGAUGCGCUCUCGAAGAGUCGGGUUGUUUGGGAAUGCAGCUCAAAACGGGUGGUAAAUUCCAUCUAAAGCUAAAUAUUGGCGAGAGACCGAUAGCGAACAAGUACCGUGAGGGAAAGAUGAAAAGCACUUUGGAAAGAGAGUAAAACAGUACGUGAAAUUGUUGAAAGGGAAACGCUUGAAGUCAGUCGCGUCUGCUGGAACUCAGCCUAGCUUCUGCUUGGUGCACUUUCCAGUCUCGACGGGCCAGCAUCGGUUUUGGGUGGUGGACACUGGCGUUGGGGAAGGUGGCAGCUCCGGCUGUGUUAUAGCCCCUCGUCGCGAACGCCGUCUGGGACCGAGGG
rnacentral:rRNA from 1 species